UGCUUUACACAUGCAAGUCGAACGGUAACAGGGAGCUUGCUCCGCUGACGAGUGGCGAACGGGUGAGUAAUGCAUCGGAACGUACCCAGUCGUGGGGGAUAACGUAGCGAAAGUUACGCUAAUACCGCAUACGUCCUGAGGGAGAAAGCGGGGGACCGUAAGGCCUCGCGCGAUUGGAGCGGCCGAUGUCGGAUUAGCUAGUUGGUAGGGUAAAGGCCUACCAAGGCGACGAUCCGUAGCGGGUCUGAGAGGAUGAUCCGCCACACUGGGACUGAGACACGGCCCAGACUCCUACGGGAGGCAGCAGUGGGGAAUUUUGGACAAUGGGCGAAAGCCUGAUCCAGCCAUGCCGCGUGAGUGAAGAAGGCCUUCGGGUUGUAAAGCUCUUUCAGACGGAAAGAAAUCGCAUCUUCUAAUACAGGGUGUGGAUGACGGUACCGUAAGAAGAAGCACCGGCUAACUACGUGCCAGCAGCCGCGGUAAUACGUAGGGUGCGAGCGUUAAUCGGAAUUACUGGGCGUAAAGCGUGCGCAGGCGGUGAUGUAAGACAGAUGUGAAAUCCCCGGGCUCAACCUGGGAACUGCGUUUGUGACUGCAU
rnacentral:rRNA from 1 species